GACGAACGCUGGCGGCGUGCCUAAUACAUGCAAGUAGAACGCACAGUUUAUACCGUAGCUUGCUACACCAUAGACUGUGAGUUGCGAACGGGUGAGUAACGCGUAGGUAACCUGCCUGGUAGCGGGGGAUAACUACUGGAAACGCUAGCUAAUACCGCAUAAUAUUAAUUAUUGCAUGAUAAUUAAUUGAAAGGAGCAAUUGCACCACUACCAGCUGGACCUGCGUUGUAUUAGCUAGUAGGUGAGGUAACGGCUCACCUAGGCGACGAUACAUAGCCGACCUGGGAGGGUGAUCGGCCACACUGGGACUGGGACCCGGCCCAGACUCCUACGGGAGGCAGCAGUAGGGAAUCUUCGGCAAUGGGCGAAAGUCUGACCGAGCAACGCCGCGGGAGUGAAGAAGGUUUUCGGGUCGUAAAGCUCUGUUGUAAGAGAAGAACGGGUGUGAGAGUGGAAAGUUCACACUGUGACGGUAUCUUACCAGAAAGCGACGGCUAACUACGUG
rnacentral:rRNA from 1 species